CGCAGGAAACAGCCACAAAAUUAAAAGUCGCCACAUUUCCCACAGUUCACUGAAGAUUUAGUAUGUAGCUUAUGUGUGAAUUAAUUUGCCACGGGCAUGCAUAAGGCGAAAUUGAAUGUAGAGAGUGAAGUUUGGACACGGAAAAGUUUAAAAUAGAAAAACAUAACGCAAAAAAACUUCGAAACAAGGGCAAAAUUAAAGUCUCACUGCGUACAGAAAGUAAUAAUAUUGAAGGCUAUCAGAAAUCCACCUUGGCUACUAAUGACUAUGAUGACUUCAUACUAAAUACUGCUGAGAUGCGCAUACCAUAUUGCAUAAAAGUGUUUGCUUUAUGUUUUUUGUGGAAAAUCGAUCGCUAUGAUUUACAUCUAAAACUGUACACUUAAAAAUUCUGGAUAACAAAUUUGUAACAUGCUUGUGAACUCAUUUUAUAUAACUCAACUUUAUUGAUGU